CUUGGCUGCCAGGAAGUGCUCCCAAGAUGAGGAAGGAGAGAGAAGAAAACCGGGGUCUUAGGUCCAAGCAAAUUAUUACUUUAGAGCGGGAAACCAAGGCUGUGCCUUUGAUUGACAACCCGCCGAAAGAACACACAGGUUCUGUAAAUUUCCCCGAGGGUGUACCUCCCCCCACACCCCGCCCCCACUCUUCUAUCAUCUCUCCUUACGGGUAGUCAGGCUAUUAACCCCCGUUUAUUAAGCGGCUGCUAGGUGUGUGGUUCCACCAGGACUCAGGAAAUCUACACACUACCUGGAUGAAAACACAAAUCAAAGGAGGAGGACACCACUACUCCUAAAGUACGGAGAAUUUGACUGUAGAUGAAGGAAGAAAGCAGGCAGAAGGAAGAGUCCAGGCUGAACAUGGCCGCCAGACUAACCCGGACCGUGAGAGGACAGAGGAGGAAGCUUCCAUCUGUGACCCGAGAAUAAGGAAUGUGAGUAGAAAACGGUCGUAAUAGAAGACCUGAAGAAUGGAGCCUCAGAAGAAAGCCAGUGGGAAUUAGUGCAAGUGUGCACACACGAGGGUAUGUGUGAGUGCGCGCGCGCGCGCGUGUGUGCCCGCGCACGUGCGUGCGUCCACAUGCGUGUGCAAACAGACAAGGGCCGAGCGAGGAUCUUCCUCUUUUCGUCUCUGGUAGGUGUUUUUAAGAUCCAGGUGUUAGCAGAACACAUAUUGCAGGGAAGAGGGCUCCUGUGCUUCCUGGGUUCCUGUGUGUUCUCACACUCUUGCCUUGGCUAAAAAGUCUGCAAGAGAGGAGGAGGACUCAAAACAUUUUCUUAGCCGUGGCCUCCCCACCUGGGCCUGGGCCCUCUGCUGUCUGGCAGCCCUGUUAGCUAUGCUUGUCAUCCUCCACGCCCCAGCACAGAGGCCUGCCCUGCUCCCCUGCACACUUUGGCAGCCUUUUCCAGGCAGGUCCCAGGAGCCCCUGCUACACAGAUAGUGUGGAGUGCAGCCUGGGGCCGGCUCAGGAGAUUGGUUCAGCCUGGGCCACUUAGCAUACUCUGAGGAUCUUGGAUACAUCCAUUUGAUUAAAAUAAAAUUAAAAAAAAAAGUGAUUCACUAUGCCCAGGCCUAAUCGUUAGGAUAAAAAGAAGAAAAGGAAAAGGAAACAAGGAAAAGAAUGUAGCAUCCUUGGCUCUGGGCUCUUUUCUUUUACAAAUGCAAACACAGUCCAAGGGAAAGGCCUGGGAAACCCGCUGAUUAGAUAGAUAGCGAGGAUGCUCUCUAUCAGGAGGGUUAUCUCUGUUCUAACAAAGCCCUGUUGACCUGCCCUCGUGAGUGUCCCUCACCCAGGCCAGCCUGGCCACCUAGCUGAACUCUGAGAGCUGCUGUUGUCUCUAAGGUAUGCGGGCUGUGAAGGGAAGGAGCGGGACUGUGGAGCCUUGGUACAUCCAGAAUAGCAGAAUGCAGGAAGGGUACAGGGAGACUGGAGGAGGCCAGUGUGGGUCAGGGGAGACUCAGGGGCUUGAUUUUCUCAGAGCAAGCUGAGGCAUUUCGGGAGCUGGGGUUGUGGAUCAAUGGGACAACCACAGUGCUGUCGAAGCUGGGCAUGGACAUGUGAGAAGGGAGUGUUGUAAGGAAAGCUGUGCUCCAGUUCUCUGGAGCUGGCAAUUUCCAGGAGUACUAGCAGAGGAAACAGGGGAAAAGUCUAGGAUGUUGCCGGGAGGCCUGCCUCACCUUCAGCAGUGUGAGGGUGGGUGAGAGGCACUGGGACUUGGCUUCCUCCCACUUCCUUCCCAUUUGAGAUAGGGAGUUGAAAUCUUUACCAUGUUUAAUGAUGAAACAACGUUCUACAAUGUUCCACCGCAGGGCACACCUGCCAGGGCAAAGGACCCAGUCUCCUAGCAUCUCUGUGGUGCCCUCUAGGCUUCUGAUUACACAGGGCUUGAAUCAAUAAGCAGGACCUGAACAAUCAAUGAAUGAGUGGAGACCAGUGGGUCUGGGAUGAGACGAACAGACAAGGAUGAGGUACAGCCCAGAAGGCAGCUGGUAACAGAAAGCAUCUCUCCCUGGGAGCCUUUGCUCACUAUGGACCUGUGUGCAUGGCUGUAUGUGAUGUGCACCCAGAUGUCUGCCAGCGGGUAGUCUGUCCUGCAGAAAGACUUGGACCACCACUUCUUCUCAGCUGCAUUUGAACUCUUAUAAACAGUGGGCAAGACGAUUCAGUCGAUAAAGGAUCUUGUCACCAAGGCUUACAACCCGAGUUCAAUACCUCCAAACACCUUGUUCUCUGAUCUCCACAGGUGCA